rnacentral:sRNA from 29 species
AAGGUUGACAGCAACCUUGGGGGCUGGGCAUGAAUAAGGCCUCUAGGAGGAAGCAGGGUGAAAAUCCCUCGCUGGCGCGCAACUGUGAUGUAGCUUCGCUACUAAGUCAGGAACUCCAGAAUCGUAGAAUCCUCG